AUUGAACGCUGGCGGCAUGCUUUACACAUGCAAGUCGAACGGUAACAGGCCGCAAGGUGCUGACGAGUGGCGAACGGGUGAGUAAUGCAUCGGAACGUGCCCAGUCGUGGGGGAUAACGCAGCGAAAGCUGCGCUAAUACUGCAUACGAUCUCUGGAUGAAAGCGGGGGACCGAAAGGCCUCGCGCGAUUGGAGCGGCCGAUGUCAGAUUAGGUAGUUGGUGGGGUAAGGGCUCACCAAGCCAACGAUCUGUAGCUGGUCUGAGAGGACGACCAGCCACACUGGGACUGAGACACGGCCCAGACUCCUACGAGAGGCAGCAGUGGGGAAUUUUGGACAAUGGGCGCAAGCCUGAUCCAGCAAUGCCGCGUGCAGGAAGAAGGCCUUCGGGUUGUAAACUGCUUUUGUACGGAACGAAACGGUCCUGGUUAAUACCUGGGGCUAAUGACGGUACCGUAAGAAUAAGCACCGGCUAACUACGUGCCAGCAGCCGCGGUAACAC
rnacentral:rRNA from 1 species